AGUUUGAUCCUGGCUCAGGACGAACGCUGGCGGCGUGGAUUAGGCAUGCAAGUCGAACGCGAAAGAGGGGUAACCCCUCGAGUAGAGUGGCGAACGGGUGAGUAACACGUGAAGAACCUGCCUUCGACAGGGGGAUAACACUCCCAACAGGGUGCUAAUACCGCAUAUGACCACGGGUCCGCAUGGACCAGAGGUAAAAGGUGGCCUCUACUUGUAAGCUACCGGUCGAAGAUGGCUUCGCGUCCCAUUAGCUAGUUGGCGGUGUAACGGACCACCAAGGCGACGAUGGGUAGCUGGUCUGAGAGGAUGGUCAGCCACACUGGGACUGAGAUACGGCCCAGACUCCUACGGGGGGCAGCAGUCGAGAGGCUUUGGCAAUGGGGGAAACCCUGACCAAGCGACGCCGCGUGGAGGAUGAAGGCCCUUGGGUUGUAAACUCCUUUUGUCGGGGAAGAAACACGAUCAGGUGAAUAAUCUGGUCGUUUGACGGUACUCGGCGAAUAAGCUCCGGCUAACUCCGUGCCAGCAGCCGCGGUAACACGGGGGGAGCAAGCGUUGUUCGGAAUCACUGGGCGUAAAGGGCGUGUAGGCGGUCAGGUAAGUGGAAUGUGAAAUGCCCCGGCUCACCCGGGGAUCUGCAUCCCAAACUGCCUGGCUUGAGUUCGGGAGAGGAUGAGGGAAUUCCUGGUGUAGCGGUGAAAUGC
rnacentral:rRNA from 1 species